UACCUAGAAGACAGGCCUGUCCAGCCGUGAGGAGCACGGCAGUUGUCCAGGGGUGGUGGAAAGGGGCUGGCAGUGGUAGUGGGGUGCGUAGAAGCCCGGGGACUGGUGGAGCCUCCUGCUGGAAGCCCUGUGGUUGGCCCGUUCUUCCCAACACGCUCCUUCUGAUUCUGGCUCAGCCCACAGGGUCAAGUUAGCAGUUGGCCUUGACUGGUGGAAGGAGGCCCAAGGGAGGAAACUGUUGACUGUGACUCCCUAAACUCUCCUGCUGAUCCUGAGUAUCAGUACUUAUCUCUCCCUCACUCCUGGCUCACCUUAAUUUGGGGAACGUUCAGAGGCAACCUGAACCAGUCUAUUCUCAGGACCUAAACUUGGGCAAACCCUGGCCAGAGCAGUACUGUGUUAAAGGUGGGGGUCAGGGCAGCGGUCUUGGCCCAGUGGUUAGGGCGUCCGUCUACCACACGGGAGGUCCGCGGUUCAAACCCCGGGCCUCCUUGACCCGUGAGAAGCUGGCCCAUGCACAGUGCUGAUGCGCGCAAGGAGUGCCCUGCCAUGCAGGGGUGUCCCCCGCGUAGGGGAGCCCCACGCGCAAGGAGUGCACCCUGUAAGGAGAGCCGCCCAGCGCAAAAGAAAGUCCAGCCUGCCCAGGAAUGAUGCCCACACACGGAGAGCUGACACAACAACAAGAUGACGCAACAAAGAGAAACACAGAUUCCCCUGCCGCUGCACAAAUCUAAAUGGACAAGAGUCACCUCCCACCGACCAGAUGCUUGCUUUCCCAGCCUUCGCCCCUUGCAGCCAUGUGACCAGGGAUUAGCUAAUCAGAUGCUUCUGCCUCAGCUUCUCAAUCUAGGGCAGGGGUCGUAACCUUUUUUGUUCCAUGGACCCCUUGCCAGUCAGGUGAAAACCACGGACCCCUUACUAAGUCCACACUAUACUGUGUAUUACUUAAUAAAUAUAUCACACCUGCACCAAAACGUCCCCACAAGAAUGUUUUUUUGAAUUUUCUAUUCAAACUCCUGGACCCCCUGAAAUCUUUCCACAGACCCCCAAGGUUAGAACCUCUGAUCUAGAGCAAAGCAGAAGGGCAAGUGGAAAAUGCAUGCUGGUGUCACUGGUGACUCUUACUGCUAAACGCCUAGAUCCUCUCAUUGAAAAGAAAAAGUGUAAACCUUCAACAUGCAGAAAAUUACAGUACAGAGAGUAAUAUCCCUAUUCAUACCACUGAAACCCGACAACUGUUAACAUCUUGCUACAUUUGAUUCAGAGGCAGCCC
rnacentral:lncRNA from 1 species